GAUGAACGCUGGCGGCGUGCCUAAUACAUGCAAGUCGAGCGAACAGACGAGGAGCUUGCUCCUCUGACGUUAGCGGCGGACGGGUGAGUAACACGUGGAUAACCUACCUAUAAGACUGGGAUAACUUCGGGAAACCGGAGCUAAUACCGGAUAAUAUAUUGAACCGCAUGGUUCAAUAGUGAAAGACGGUUUGCUGUCACUUAUAGAUGGAUCCGCGCCGCAUUAGCUAGUUGGUAAGGUAACGGCUUACCAAGGCAACGAUGCGUAGCCGACCUGAGAGGGUGAUCGGCCACACUGGAACUGAGACACGGUCCAGACUCCUACGGGAGGCAGCAGUAGGGAAUCUUCCGCAAUGGGCGAAAGCCUGACGGAGCAACGCCGCGUGAGUGAUGAAGGUCUUCGGAUCGUAAAACUCUGUUAUUAGGGAAGAACAAAUGUGUAAGUAACUAUGCACGUCUUGACGGUACCUAACCAGAAAGCCACGGCUAACUACGUG
rnacentral:rRNA from 1 species